rnacentral:rRNA from 1 species
UACGGGGGGAGCAAGCGUUGUUCGGAUUUACUGGGCGUAAAGGGCGCGUAGGCGGCCACCGCAAGUCGACUGUGAAAUCUCCGGGCUUAACCCGGAAAGGUCAGCCGAUACUGCGGGGCUAGAGUGCAGAAGGGGCAACUGGGAAUUCUCGGUGUAGCGGUGAAAUGCGUAGAUAUCGAGAGGAACACCUGCGGCGAAGGCGGGUUGCUGGG